GCUGGAGCAGGUGCUGGGGUGCUCCAGGAGCUCUGCAUGCAGCAGCAUGACUGCAGCUGCAUGAUUGCAUACAGCAGCAGGUCCAGGGCUCAGCAGCAGCAGCACCAUGGGGAUUCCCAUGAGUUCUUGUUCUCACUUGGAAAUGAAAACAGGCUGCAGUUCUGAGCCUCCAUGUGUAACUGGGUAAGGCAGCACGAGGCGCGCAUGGGGUUCGUUUUUCUUUCUUUUCAUCUACUUAAUACCUCUGUGGUGGGACUGAUGGAGUUGUUAAAAUCCCUUGUAAUGUACAGGCGUGUGUCUUUAUGAUGUAGAGCAAACAAAAGUAACAUCAAUCCACCUCCCUCCUUGGACUUUGGCUGGCACCAGUACUAGUUUUUGUAGGGUUCUUUACAUUACGAAAAGCAUCACUGGACAUCAUCACUAUGAAUAUUACAGAUAAGAGCAGGAUCAAAGCAAGGCAACAUGGCAAACAUUUUGCUUGUCAUCAGUCAAAACAGCUUUUUAUGUCUUUAGCGACAACGAUUUCCUGACAAACCUCUGCUCCUGAAACCCGCUGCAAAUACAAGACCACCUCGUACUCUUUCACUAAGAGGAAGCGCACAUUUCAAUUCGUUUUCAAACGCUGGGACCUCCCUGAAGCAGCUUUCUCCCUGCAGAGCCCUCCCUCCGGGCCGGGCCCAACGAUGGGCGGGCGGAGAGGGACGGACGGCCGGGAAGGCGGAGACGGGGGGCGGCUCGCUGCCGGGGCGCGCCCCCUGCUGGCACGGCCGCCACGGUGCCGGACCCGCGGGGGAAGCGGCCGGGCCUGGGCUGUGCUCGGCGGUCCCACCCCGAGCAGCGCUGGAGCCGUCGGUUUGAUUCUCAGCACGCAACAGGCAAUUUUAACUCUUUGAAUAACGUUGUAUUGUUCCGAUAGACGUCCAUUUUGAGCACCUUGGAGCGCCCACAUCAGUGCUGCUCUUUGGAUCAGCAGUGUGCUUUUGGAGCACAUCUGCCACACUGUGCUUGGACAUGCUGGCACAGAGCAGCCUCACAGCCGCCCAUUUCAUGGCAUUCAGAUGACACCGGGCUGGAGGAAGGCUCCAGGAACUGUUUGUAAAAGCUGGUGCUGCAUUAGCCAUCUCCUAAGGCUUUGUGUGUAAGCAGUUUCAAAGGAAGACUUGCACACUUCUGCAGGGAUGGUGGGGACCAUCUGGCAAUGGUUAGUUUGUUAUUAUUCACUUUGUCAAUUUAUUCUAACCCUUACUGGUGCUUCAAUGCGAGACAGAUCCUCAGACAAGCUCGUGAGUUCCUGUCUGGGAACUACCCCAGCCUUCUUCACAAUGAAUACAUGCAAAAAGCUCAUUUGGGGCUUCUGUGGCAAUUCUGUCUUUUCUGUGUAUUCCUUUGUAUACCUUGAUAGCAGAUUGGCUCUAGAAGAUGUCUCUCAGGCUUCCUGCUCCUGAUGAGACUGAAAAGCUUUUUCAGUCUUUCUGCAGGUUGUGUGUCAGUUACAUGUUUCAAGAAGGACAGAAGUCAAAGGAGUGAUUCUGUGGAUAUUUUGCCUUUGUUCAGAAAUGUCUUGAGUUGCUUAGGCACAAAAGGGUGAUCUAGGAAAAUAUUCAUCAAAUAUUCAUCUGACAUCAGGAAGAGGUUCACCUCUUCUUUGCAGGAAAUUCCUGCCUCAGGCAACAAAUAUUCACCAAAUAUUAUGAACAAGCAAACAUUUUGAAAACAUUCAAGACAUGAUUAGCAGCUCUUUGGAGGACAUUGGAGAGAUACAGAUCCCUGAGUUGACUGGUUAAUAAACAGAAUAACCAGGAGUCAAACCAGUGCAGGAGCAAAAUAGAGAAGACUAAGUCUUGCUUGAUUUUGCAAAGAUUGGAGGCAAAAAGUGGGCAUAGUUGUGAUAGAGUCAGUCUGAAAGCAUUUUCUUGCACAUCGCUCGUCUGUAAUUUCCCAGCCUUCUAUAAAUUAGUCAGCAUGUGAGCACUGCUCUGUAAGUUUAGUGUGGGUAGUUUAGAUUGCAUGUUCAGAGUGCUGGCUGUGUUGUUUUGGUUAUGAGAUAGUCAUGGUAUGUUUCUGUUUGCAGAUGGGGAGGUUUUGCCUCUGUGAGUCUAUAACCUGGUUCAUUUACCUACACUGAAUAUAAAAUUUAGCAGAAACUGUAGCACAGAGAAAACUAAUAAUCAUUUAUCUAUAGUCUGGUGAUACGCUAACAUAAAUUCAGACUUAGACCUUUUUGUACUGAACCUAUAAUACCAGUUUUAGGAAAAAUGACCCCAAAAAGAUCACAUGACACAAAUUGAUGAUUCAGAUUAAACUUACAUCCUGGACCCAGUCUGUCAGAAAGACCUAACCGAGUAAUUCUGUGCAGGCGGGCUGUAUGCCAAGUGAAGCAUAUUACCUCCUGAUACUCUAACAUGUCAUAUCGAGUACUUUUGUCUUCCCACAACACACACAAGGCCACUGUACAGCCAUAAAGCCAGUGUAAGCCCCAUACUGCGUGCUGGGAUUAACAUCUGUGAAUCUGGAUCAGAUUUGUGCUACUGCCUUAGCGCCCAUGGUAGCAUGGCCUCCUUUAAGGAAGAUGAACAGCAAAGAGCAAAGGUCCUCGUGGUGGCCAUGCACGUGAAUGCUUCUCUUACCUGCUGCUUGGUUACGAUCACAGCUGAACAUACAGCUGCCUGUGUGGCUUAGAAGAAACCUCAACCAGCCAUGGCCACCUUCCCACUUAUUUGAUAGGUGACUUCCUGUUCUUUCCAGUUAUUAUUACAUAACAGAGUAUUUCAGUGCUCCUUCCACUUGGCCUGAAGGAAAGAUGUUUAGAAUAUCCAUAGGUAUAACCAGAUCUGUAGGUCUGCACAACAACAGCUGCAGUGCAAUGAUACCAUGCCACAGUUUAUCCUAUCUAUUGAGAGGGCAGUGGUCUUCUAAUUAAUGAUUAUUCCGUUUAGUUUGUGGUUUAAUGAACAUUUUUGGAGCAGUCAAAAUAUUUGAAAAGUACAAAAACAAAGCACAUGAAAUGUGAAAUUCCAAGUGAAUUUUAAGUCUGUCCUUAAU